GAUGAACGCUAGCGGCAGGCUUAAUACAUGCAAGUCGAACGGUAACAGAUCUUCGGAUGCUGACGAGUGGCGCACGGGUGAGGAACACGUACACAAUCUACCUUAUACAGGAGGAUAGCCCCGGGAAACUGGGAUUAAUACUCCAUAGUCUUUAAUGAUCACAUGAGAAAUAAAGUAAAGCUCCGGCGGUAUAAGAUGAGUGUGCGUCCCAUUAGAUAGUUGGUGAGGUAACGGCUCACCAAGUCUGCGAUGGGUAGCUGGCGUGAGAGCGCGACCAGCCACACUGGCACUGAGACACGGGCCAGACUCCUACGGGAGGCAGCAGUGGGGAAUUUUGGACAAUGGGCGCAAGCCUGAUCCAGCCAUGCCGCGUGAGUGAAGAAGGCC
rnacentral:rRNA from 1 species